GAUGAACGCUGGCGGCGUGCCUAAUACAUGCAAGUCGAGCGAACAGAUAAGGAGCUUGCUCCUUUGACGUUAGCGGCGGACGGGUGAGUAACACGUGGGUAACCUACCUAUAAGACUGGGAUAACUUCGGGAAACCGGAGCUAAUACCGGAUAACAUUUGGAACCGCAUGGUUCUAAAGUGAAAGAUGGUUUUGCUACCACUUAUAGAUGGACCCGCGCCGUAUUAGCUAGUUGGUAAGGUAACGGCUUACCAAGGCGACGAUACGUAGCCGACCUGAGAGGGUGAUCGGCCACACUGGAACUGAGACGCGGUCCAGACUCCUACGGGAGGCAGCAGUAGGGAAUCUUCCGCAAUGGGCGAAAGCCUGACGGAGCAACGCCGCGUGAGUGAUGAAGGGUUUCGGCUCGUAAAACUCUGUUAUUAGGGAAGAACAAACGUGUAAGUAACUGUGCACGUCUUGACGGUACCUAAUCAGAAAGCCACGGCUAACUACGUGCCAGCAGCCGCGGUAAUACGUAGGUGGCAAGCGUUAUCCGGAAUUAUUGGGCGUAAAGCGCGCGUAGGCGGUUUCUUAAGUCUGAUGUGAAAGCCCACGGCUCAACCGUGGAGGGUCAUUGGAAACUGGGAAACUUGAGUGCAGAAGAGGAAAGUGGAAUUCCAUGUGUAGCGGUGAAAUGCGCAGAGAUAUGGAGGAACACCAGUGGCGAAGGCGACUUUCUGGUCUGUAACUGACGCUGAUGUGCGAAAGCGUGGGGAUCAAACAGGAUUAGAUACCCUGGUAGUCCACGCCGUAAACGAUGAGUGCUAAGUGUUAGGGGGUUUCCGCCCCUUAGUGCUGCAGCUAACGCAUUAAGCACUCCGCCUGGGGAGUACGACCGCAAGGUUGAAACUCAAAGGAAUUGACGGGGACCCGCACAAGCGGUGGAGCAUGUGGUUUAAUUCGAAGCAACGCGAAGAACCUUACCAAAUCUUGACAUCCUUUGAAAACUCUAGAGAUAGAGCCUUCCCCUUCGGGGGACAAAGUGACAGGUGGUGCAUGGUUGUCGUCAGCUCGUGUCGUGAGAUGUUGGGUUAAGUCCCGCAACGAGCGCAACCCUUAAGCUUAGUUGCCAUCAUUAAGUUGGGCACUCUAGGUUGACUGCCGGUGACAAACCGGAGGAAGGUGGGGAUGACGUCAAAUCAUCAUGCCCCUUAUGAUUUGGGCUACACACGUGCUACAAUGGACAAUACAAAGGGCAGCUAAACCGCGAGGUCAUGCAAAUCCCAUAAAGUUGUUCUCAGUUCGGAUUGUAGUCUGCAACUCGACUACAUGAAGCUGGAAUCGCUAGUAAUCGUAGAUCAGCAUGCUACGGUGAAUACGUUCCCGGGUCU
rnacentral:rRNA from 1 species